rnacentral:rRNA from 1 species
AGAGUUUGAUCAUGGCUCAGGAUGAACGCUAGCUACAGGCUUAACACAUGCAAGUCGAGGGGAAACGAUAUUGGAAGCUUGCUUCCGAUAGGCGUCGACCGGCGCACGGGUGAGUAACGCGUAUCCAACCUGCCCACCACUUGGGGAUAACCUUGCGAAAGUAAGACUAAUACCCAAUGAUAUCUCUAGAAGACAUCUGAAAGAGAUUAAAGAUUUAUCGGUGAUGGAUGGGGAUGCGUCUGAUUAGCUUGUUGGCGGGGUAACGGCCCACCAAGGCAACGAUCAGUAGGGGUUCUGAGAGGAAGGUCCCCCACAUUGGAACUGAGACACGGUCCAAACUCCUACGGGAGGCAGCAGUGAGGAAUAUUGGUCAAUGGACGAGAGUCUGAACCAGCCAAGUAGCGUGCAGGAAGACGGCCCUAUGGGUUGUAAACUGCUUUUAUAAGGGAAUAAAGUGAGAGUCGUGACUCUUUUUGCAUGUACCUUAUGAAUAAGGACCGGCUAAUUCCGUGCCAGCAGCCGCGGUAAUACGGAAGGUCCGGGCGUUAUCCGGAUUUAUUGGGUUUAAAGGGAGCGUAGGCCGGAGAUUAAGCGUGUUGUGAAAUGUAGACGCUCAACGUCUGCACUGCAGCGCGAACUGGUUUCCUUGAGUACGCACAAAGUGGGCGGAAUUCGUGGUGUAGCGGUGAAAUGCUUAGAUAUCACGAAGAACUCCGAUUGCGAAGGCAGCUCACUGGAGCGCAACUGACGCUGAAGCUCGAAAGUGCGGGUAUCGAACAGGAUUAGAUACCCUGGUAGUCCGCACGGUAAACGAUGGAUGCCCGCUGUUGGUCUGAAUAGGUCAGCGGCCAAGCGAAAGCAUUAAGCAUCCCACCUGGGGAGUACGCCGGCAACGGUGAAACUCAAAGGAAUUGACGGGGGCCCGCACAAGCGGAGGAACAUGUGGUUUAAUUCGAUGAUACGCGAGGAACCUUACCCGGGCUUGAAUUGCAGAGGAAGGAUUUGGAGACAAUGACGCCCUUCGGGGCCUCUGUGAAGGUGCUGCAUGGUUGUCGUCAGCUCGUGCCGUGAGGUGUCGGCUUAAGUGCCAUAACGAGCGCAACCCCUCUCCUUAGUUGCCAUCAGGUUAAGCUGGGCACUCUGGGGACACUGCCACCGUAAGGUGUGAGGAAGGUGGGGAUGACGUCAAAUCAGACCGGCCCUUACGUCCGGGGCUACACACG